AACGCUAGCUACAGGCUUAACACAUGCAAGUCGAGGGGCAUCAGGAAGAAAGCUUGCUUUCUUUGCUGGCGACCGGCGCACGGGUNAGUAACACGUAUCCAACCUGCCCUUUACUCGGGGAUAGCCUUUCGAAAGAAAGAUUAAUACCCGAUAGCAUAAUGAUUCCGCAUGGUUUCAUUAUUAAAGGAUUCCGGUAAAGGAUGGGGAUGCGUUCCAUUAGGUUGUUGGUGAGGUAACGGCUCACCAAGCCUUCGAUGGAUAGGGGUUCUGAGAGGAAGGUCCCCCACAUUGGAACUGAGACACGGUCCUAACUCCUACGGGAGGCAGCAGUGAGGAAUAUUGGUCAAUGGGCGAUGGCCUGAACCAGCCAAGUAGCGUGAAGGAUGACUGCCCUAUGGGUUGUAAACUUCUUUUAUACGGGAAUAAAGUGAGGCACGUGUGCCUUUUUGUAUGUACCGUAUGAAUAAGGAUCGGCUAACUCCGUGCCAGCAGCCGCGGUAAUACGGAGGAUCCGAGCGUUAUCCGGAUUUAUUGGGUUUAAAGGGAGCGUANGUGGACUGGUAAGUCAGUUGUGAAAGUUUGCGGCUCAACCGUAAAAUUGCAGUUGAUACUGUCAGUCUUGAGUACAGUAGAGGUGGGCGGAAUCGUGGAGUAGCGGUGAAAUGCUUANAUAUCACGAAGAACUCCGAUUG
rnacentral:rRNA from 1 species